rnacentral:rRNA from 1 species
UACCAGCACCCCGAGUGGUCGGGACGUUUAUUGGGCCUAAAGCAUCCGUAGCCGGUUCUGCAAGUCUUCCGUUAAAUCCACCUGCUUAACAGAUGGGCCGCGGAAGAUACUAUAGAGCUAGGAGGCGGGAGAGGCAAGCGGUACUCGAUGGGUAGGGGUAAAAUCCGUUGAUCCAUUGAAGACCACCAGUGGCGAAGGCGGCUUGCCAGAACGCGCUCGACGGUGAGGGAUGAAAGCUGGGGGGAGCAAACCGG